UUCCGGUUGAUCCUGCCGGAGGCCACUGCUAUUGGGAUCCGACUAAGCCAUGCGAGUCGAGAGGGUUCGGCCCUCGGCAGACUGCUCAGUAACACGUGGAUAACCUAACCUUAGGUGGAAGAUAACCUCGGGAAACUGAGAAUAAUAUUCCAUAGAUCUAGGAUGCUGGAAUGCAUCUAGAUUAAAAGUUCCGACGCCUAAGGAUGGGUCUGCGGACUAUCAGGUUGUAGUCAGGGUAAAGACCUGACUAGCCUACGACGGAUAUGGGUUGUGAGAGCAAUAGCCCAGAGACGAUAUCUGAGACACGAUAUCGGGCCCUACGGGGCGCAGCAGGCGCGAAAUCUUCACAAUGUGCGAAAGCACGAUGAGGGGAUCCCAAGUGCUGGCACGUAAGUGUCAGCUGUUUCUUAGUCUAAAAAACUGAGAGAGUAAGGGCUGGGUAAGACGGGUGCCAGCCGCCGCGGUAAUACCUGCAGCUCAAGUGGUGGUCGCUAUUAUUGGGCCUAAAAUGUCCGUAGCCUGUUUAGUAAAUGCUUGGGUAAAUUGUGUAGCUUAACUAUACGAAUACCGAGUAGACUGCUAAACUUGGGACCGGGAGAGGCUAGAGGUACUCCUGGGGUAGAGGUGAAAUUCUGUAAUCCUAGGGGGACCACCAGUGGCGAAGGCGUCUAGCUAGAACGGGUCUGACGGUGAGGGACGAAGCCCUGGGGCGCAAACCGGAUUAGAUACCCGGGUAGUCCAGGGUGUAAACGCUGCUUGCUUGAUGUUAGUUGGGCUCCGAGCCCAACUAGUGUCGGAGAGAAGUUGUUAAGCAAGCUGCCUGGGAGUACGGUCGCAAGACUGAAACUUAAAGGAAUUGGCGGGGGAGCACAGCAACGGGUGGAGCGUGCGGCUUACUUGGAGUCAACGCCGGGA
rnacentral:rRNA from 1 species